rnacentral:rRNA from 1 species
AGGUGUGGGGGGUGUCGACUCCCUCCGUGCCGAAGCUAACGCAUUAAGUGCCCCGCCUGGGGAGUACGGCCGCAAGGCUAAAACUCAAAGGAAUUGACGGGGGCCCGCACAAGCAGCGGAGCAUGUGGUUUAAUUCGACGCAACGCGAAGAACCUUACCUGGGCUUGACAUGUGGAUGACCGGCCUGGAAACAGGUCUUCCCUUCGGGGCAUCUUCACAGGUGGUGCAUGGCUGUCGU